UUUAUUUUAAAUAUUGAUGAAUAUUUUAGGUAUGUGAGGAAGUAGACUCAUGCAACAUGCAAACCUUUUGUCUGGGCGCCAGCUGUUUUUCAAAAUGCGACUACAGGGCUGGGGAUGGUUGUCUUGGUGGCCCCCGAUGAACCACACCUGGCAUUCACAUAACCUCCGGUCCCCUCCCGUGUGACUUGCUCUCACCAGUGGGAUGGUAGCUAUUGUGAUGUGAACAGAGGUUUGAUAAGUGUGUGUGUUUUAGGGUUUUGCUCUGGGCACGCUCCCUUUGGGAACCCUGAGACUCCGAUACUAGCCAUGUGAAGAGUCCGCGUGGAGAAAUGAGAAACCCAGGUGACGCCAGAAUUGAGACUCCACACAUGUCCCAGUCCAGCUGUCUCAGCCACACCCAGCUGAAGCUCCAGACACAUGGUGCAGAGAUUGGCCAGCCUUGCUCUAUCUUGUCCAAAUUCCUAACUUCUACAAUUGAGGAAUACCUUCUGGAGUGGUGGAGCAGAGGUGGCUCAGAGAGGGCAAGGGAGCGUGUGUCUCCAUGAGAAUGCCCGCUGUGGCCAGAGGCCGCCAUGCGUGUCUCGGUGGAUGACGGACUGAGAACCACUGCAUUAGAUGUAUGCAGAUUUUAAUAGGGGAAAAUCCAAGUUUGGAAUCAGCACAAUUUACAUAGGUUUCGACUUUAAUAGUCCCCUAUUGCACCUUUAUGCAAUUUUUGCCAUAUCUGUGUACGUCUGACUGCCACGUUCUCACAUUUCUGAAACUUCAGUCGUCUGCACAUCAUCCUCACAAUGUUUUGCCCUAUCUGCACAUUAUCUACACUACUGCUUAGUUUAUAUUUUCUUUAAACUGGCUCACUCUUCACUUACAUGAAAAAUGAAAACCUCUGUGUCAUUA